rnacentral:RNase_P_RNA from 1 species
UUUAAUCUUGAGGAAAGUCCGAGCAUCACAUGAGCAGAAUGUUAGUUAACGGCUAAUGGGGGCGACCCCAAGGAAAGUGCAACAGAAAAGAUACAGCAUCAAGUAUUUGGUGCAAUAGGUGAAAUAGUAGGGUAAGAGCCUACUAAUUACAUAGGUGACUAUGUAGUUGUGUAAACCCCAUUCGAUGCAAGGUAGAAAGAUGUUUGAAGUUGCUCAGCUAGUCUUUCGUUACACCGCUUGAAACUAUUGGCAACAAUAGUGCUAGAUAGAUAAUCGUCCAAAACAGAACUCGGCUUAUGGAUAGU